rnacentral:misc_RNA from 1 species
GAUGAAGAACGUAGCGAAAUGCGAUAAGUAAUGUGAAUUGCAGAAUUCAGUGAAUCAUCGAAUCUUUGAACGCACCUUGCGCUCCUUGGCAUUCCGAGGAGCAUGCCUGUUUGAGUGUCAUUAAAUUCUCAAGACCUGUCUGCUUUUUUGAUAGGUAUUGGAUUUUGGGGGUUGCAGGCUGUUUCAAAUAAAUAGCCUUGCUCUCCUUGAAUGUAUUAGUGGAGAAAAGCCAUUGAACUCCAUUGGUGUGAUAGAACCUAUCAAUGCCAGGAGCAAUAUCACUACUUCUCUCUGCUGUCUAACUGUGACUGUCUGUAUUAAUUAGUAUGGAUGGGGACAACUUGACCAACUUGACCUCAAAUCAGGUAGGACUACCCGCUGAACUUAAGCAUAUCAAUAAGCGGAGGA